rnacentral:rRNA from 1 species
UACGUAGGGGGCAAGCGUUGUCCGGAAUCAUUGGGCGUAAAGCGCGUGUAGGCGGCUCGAUAAGUCUGCUGUGAAAGUCCAGGGCUCAACCCUGGGAUGCCGGUGGAUACUGUCGAGCUCGAGUCCGGAAGAGGCGAGUGGAAUUCCUGGUGUAGCGGUGAAAUGCGCAGAUAUCAGGAGGAACACCGGUGGCGAAGGCGGGUCUCUGGGCCGAUACUGACGCUGAGGAGCGAAAGCGUGGGGAGCAAACAGG